rnacentral:lncRNA from 1 species
UGCAAGGCAAUCUAUGUAGUGUAUAUCCUGGAGGUGGAAUGCUCCGUCUAAAGUCUGAGCUGAGCAUUCAUGCAGGUUGUAGCAACCUACACAAUCAGAACAUUGAAUGUGAAUGCCUGUUAUCCCACACAAGUCUACUAGCUCUAAAAAUACUCCGACUCUCACUGUUGGAAGUGAAGGAGUUAGUUUGUUCCUCUUCUUUGCACUUAGAUUGAUCUUCACAACCUCUGCGGAGGCACUUUUCAUAUCUCAAAAUGUUGAGUUGAUUUUUCUUUUCAUUUCUGGCUUCCUCAUUAGACUGGUGUCAUCCAAGGCAGGACUGGGGUCUUCUAUUGAGCAUCUUCACCCCUGCAUAAUGUCUGGUUUCUUGUUGACACCCAUGACCUAUUUCCUUGGAAUUUUCUAGAAGGAAUUAAAGCCAUUGGGAACUAAAAUAGGCUGCGCUGAUGGACUGGGAGAACAGGGCAUUUUGUAUCUUUCAAUACCAUUUGAAUUGUCUAACUCAGUGUAUUUUCAGUGUCAGUAGGGUUUAUUAUGGUAGUAAGUUCAUGGACCAUUUUUUGUUUUCUUGUUAAUACUUGUCUGUAUUUUUGAGAAAUGAGAUGAUAAAAGUUGUGUUGUUGUUUUCUUUCAUCUAUAGAUGAUGAGUAUGAGACCAAGGUGUCAGCAUGUUGGUUCCUUCUGAGCCCUCUC